UCAAUCUUUCUUUUGAUGUGCUUAUUUAUAGAUUUGUAAUUUAUAAUCUUUUUGUUUUGCUGUAACUAAAUAGUGUAUGAGCUGCAAUGGGCAAUUAACAUUGCUAUGUCAAAUUUUGGUGGUAAUCUCAUAGAUUUUGGUUUGAGCCUUUUCAUGGGGUUAAACUUGUUGUCACCUCGUAUCUUCAUCACCUGCUUAGCUGCCCAAGAAAAAAGAAAGUUGG
rnacentral:misc_RNA from 1 species